rnacentral:rRNA from 1 species
CCUACGGGUGGCAGCAGUGAGGAAUAUUGGUCAAUGGGCGCGAGCCUGAACCAGCCAAGUCGCGUGAGGGAAGACGGUCCUAUGGAUUGUAAACCUCUUUUGUCGGGGAGCAAAAGACGCCACGCGUGGCGUUCCGAGAGUACCCGAAGAAAAAGCAUCGGCUAACUCCGUGCCAGCAGCCGCGGUACUACGGAGGAUGCGAGCGUUAUCCGGAUUUAUUGGGUUUAAAGGGUGCGCAGGCGGAAGAUCAAGUCAGCGGUAAAAUUGAGAGGCUCAACCUCGUCGAGCCGUUGAAACUGGUUGUCUUGAGUGAGUGAGAAGUAUGCGGAAUGCGUGGUGUAGCGGUGAAAUGCAUAGAUAUCACGCAGAACUACGAUUGCGAAGGCAGCAUACCGGCGCUCAACUGACGCUCAUGCACGAAAGUGUGGGUAUCGAACAGGAUUAGAUACCCCAGUAGUC